AGACUGGAAAGCAAAUCUAGCUUUGUGAUUGGCUCAUGGUCCUGUCAAUCUCGAUCUGAACUGUGUUGCUAGGUGAAGAUUCCAACUUCCUGGGCAGAGGGUCAUGUAGUGGAAUAGAGCUGUACCUGGCUUCAGGCGAGACUUGGCAACUCCAAAAUGGAAGUACUAUUGUUAUCUCCGUUUACAAAUUAGGAAACUGAGGCACAGAUAUGCUCUUGGGUACUUGUCAGCAGCAGUUGUUCUACAAGCUAAAUAUCUGGAUAUCUUAAAUCUCAGAUGAGCGUCUUAGCCUCUGGAUUACUGCUCAAUGAGGAAAGCUAUGAAAUGCAUGGAUAACUUGCUAAUCAGUAUUUGCCAUAUGUGCUAGCAGCAUCAGCAUCAGUUGGGAGAUUAUGGUGGCCUCCAUGUCAGACCUCCUAAAUCGGAAUAUCAGAGAAGGUGGCCCAGGUUACCAUGCUUCAUCUGCCAAUGCAUUGAAAACUUGGAAUGUAAAUUAAUUCAACCAUUGUGGAAGAUGGUGUAGUGAUUCCUCAAAGACCUAGAAGCAGAAAUAUCAUUUGAUCCAGAAAUCCCAUUACUGUGUAUACACCCAAAGGAAUAUAAACCAUUCUAUUACAAAGAU
ensembl:lncRNA novel transcript